rnacentral:rRNA from 1 species
AUUGAACGCUGGCGGCAUGCCUUACACAUGCAAGUCGAACGGCAGCACGGGAGCUUGCUCCUGGUGGCGAGUGGCGAACGGGUGAGUAAUACAUCGGAACGUACCCUGAAGUGGGGGAUAACGUAGCGAAAGUUACGCUAAUACCGCAUAUUCUGUGAGCAGGAAAGAGGGGGAUCGCAAGACCUCUUGCUUUAGGAGCGGCCGAUGUCGGAUUAGCUAGUUGGUGAGGUAAAGGCUCACCAAGGCGACGAUCCGUAGCGGGUCUGAGAGGAUGAUCCGCCACACUGGGACUGAGACACGGCCCAGACUCCUACGGGAGGCAGCAGUGGGGAAUUUUGGACAAUGGGCGCAAGCCUGAUCCAGCCAUGCCGCGUGAGUGAAGAAGGCCUCGGUUGUAAAGACUCUUCGGUGGGAGAAUGCACAGGAUAAUACCUU